GAUGAACGCUGGCGGCGUGCCUAAUACAUGCAAGUCGAGCGAACGGACGAGAAGCUUGCUUCUCUGAUGUUAGCGGCGGACGGGUGAGUAACACGUGGAUAACCUACCUAUAAGACUGGGAUAACUUCGGGAAACCGGAGCUAAUACCGGAUAAUAUUUUGAACCGCAUGGUUCAAAAGUAAAAGACGGUCUUGCUGUCACUUAUAGAUGGAUCCGCGCUGCAUUAGCUAGUUGGUAAGGUAACGGCUUACCAAGGCAACGAUGCAUAGCCGACCUGAGAGGGUGAUCGGCCACACUGGAACUGAGACACGGUCCAGACUCCUACGGGAGGCAGCAGUAGGGAAUCUUCCGCAAUGGGCGAAAGCCUGACGGAGCAACGCCGCGUGAGUGAUGAAGGUCUUCGGAUCGUAAAACUCUGUUAUUGGGGAAGAACAUAUGUGUAAGUAACUGUGCACAUCUUGACGGUACCUAAUCAGAAAGCCACGGCUAACUACGU
rnacentral:rRNA from 1 species